UUGUAUGAAAUUUAUUUCAAAACCAUUUCAAAAUGUAUUUUCAAAAUCCUGUAUCACUUUAAUAAUCACUUUAAUAAAAAUAUCUAUUUUUUCUCCGCUCUGAUAUUUUCUGUUCUCGUAAUAUACAUAUAUAUACAAUACCAUUUUCUUUCAACAGAUCAUUCGUCAUUCGUAUUAGAAUAUUGCGUCGUUCAUUUGAACCAUAAAUGUCGUGUUUGCUGGACACGUGGCUAGUUAUGGUCUUGAAACUGUAAAGAGGUAUAGCAGUUGCGAACAAUUAAUCUUCUCUCAAAGUAGUUACUUUCAGAGGAAAGUUUACAUCGACAUUCGAGCACUACGGUAAGAUACGACACGCAUUCAAGAAAUAGUAUACACGUCACGUAAACGCGUACCAUCUCGUACGAGUCAUCGGAUAGAUCUGACGCUCGUUCGCGACUGUUUGCAAGAAUUGUUCGACGUUUCUCCACGAUUGUUUUCAAAGUCGUAACUCUCAAGCACCACCAUCUUUCGAAACAUAGAAAUUCAUUUUAUUAUAAAUCUUCAUAUACCCGCAUCCGAACAGAUGCCAUUUCACACAGUUUACCGGUUUAUCCAUGAUGCAUUUAGCUAAGUUCAAAUUACAAGACUAUGAAAAGAAUCCAAAGAAGCUAUUACAGUUUUAGGUUAGGUUAAGAACAAAAAGACUUAAGUUUUAUUAAAAAUGCUCAAUUUUGAAGAUAAUCACGAAAUGAAUUUCCUUUUGAAAAAGAUUCUUAAGAAAUCCUUUAAGGAAAAAGAAUUCAAAAAACGUUUGAAGUUAACAGAAUAACGACUCAAUGAAGCGUCUGAAGUCGAUUCUUACCGAUACAUCCAGGACUUGUAGAACGUACUAGUCGUCAAGCCCGUCGGAGGAAUCUAAUUUUAUAACGACCUAUAUUUAGCUGAAACUUAUUCCAGCAACGGUGUGCACCGGGUCACCGGACUUCUAUUUUACCAAUGCGAUAUCUCGAUCCAGCGUUAGUUUAACCAAGAAUUAGCAGACUUUGCUCAACUACCAGAUAGCCUUUACUGCUUUUAUUUUUGCACCACUAUGACUGAUAUGAAUAUGUAGAACAUAAAAUGAAGUAUUGAAGUAAUUGGCUGCUUUUCUUAAAGGAAAAGAUUUAAAAUUUUUUUUUAUGUUCUAGUCAAGUGUAAAAGAGGAAUUUACAUUCAAUAUACAAAUGAAGAAAGGAUUUAUCAAAUUUUUUAAUCAUAAAUUAUUUAUAUUUAUUAUUGUAUUAUCCCCAUUAUUUUAUACUAUAUUAAGAAAAAUGUAUGUUAAUUUCAG